AGCAGCCGCGGUAAUUCCAGCUCCAAUAGCGUAUAUUAAAGUUGUUGCAGUUAAAAACGCUCGUAGUUGAAUUUCGGGGUUGACGUGUGAUGGUCAUGCCUUAAGGGGUAUGAACUGUUACUGUUGAUUUCUCACCUUCUGGAGAAACUUGAUGUCCUUUAUUGGGUGUCUUGCGGAUCCAGGACCUUUACCUUGAAAAAAUUAGAGUGUUUAAAGCAGGCAUUUUUGCUCGAAUACAUUAGCAUGGAAUAAUAGAAUAGGACGGCAUGGUUCCAUUUUGUUGGUUUCUAGGAUCACCGUAAUGAUUAAUAGGGAUAGUUGGGGGCAUUAGUAUUCAAUUGUCAGAGGUGAAAUUCUUGGAUUUAUUGAAGACUAACUACUGCGAAAGCAUUUGCCAAGGAUGUUUUCAUUAACCAAGAACGAAAGUUAGGGAUCGAAGACGAUCAGAUACCGUCGUAGUCUUAACCAUAAACUAUGCCGACUAGGAAUCAGACGAUGUUAAUUUUUAUGUACUCGUUCGGCGUACC
rnacentral:rRNA from 1 species